UACCAGCACCCCGAGUGGUCGGGACGAUUAUUGGGCCUAAAGCAUCCGUAGCCGGUCCUACAAGUCUUCCGUUAAAUCCACCUGCUCAACAGAUGGGCUGCGGAAGAUACUAUAGGGCUAGGAGGCGGGAGAGGCAAGCGGUACUCAGUGGGUAGGGGUAAAAUCCAUUGAUCUACUGAAGACCACCAGUGGCGAAGGCGGUUUGCCAGAACGCGCUCGACGGUGAGGGAUGAAAGCUGGGGGAGCAAACCGG
rnacentral:rRNA from 1 species